AGUGUGAAGGCAUAGAGCCUUCACUUUUGUACACCGUAAGGUGGUGCACGAAUAAGGACUGGGCAAGACCGGUGCCAGCCGCCGCGGUAAUACCGGCAGUCCGAGUGAUGGCCGAUCUUAUUGGGCCUAAAGCGUCCGUAGCUGGCUGAACAAGUCCGUUGGGAAAUCUGUCCGCUUAACGGGCAGGCGUCCAGCGGAAACUGUUCAGCUUGGGACCGGAAGACCUGAGGGGUACGUCUGGGGUAGGAGUGAAAUCCUGUAAUCCUGGACGGACCGCCGGUGGCGAAAGCGCCUCAGGAGAACGGAUCCGACAGUGAGGGACGAAAGCUAGGGUCUCGAACCGGAUUAGAUACCCGGGUAGUCCUAGCUGUAAACGAUGUCCGCUAGGUGUGGCGCAGGCUACGAGCCUGCGCUGUGCCGUAGGGAAGCCGAGAAGCGGACCGCAUGGGAAGUACGUCUGCAAGGAUGAAACUUAAAGGAAUCGGCGGGGGAGCACUACAACCGGAGGAGCCUGCGGUUUAAUUGGACUCAACGCCGGACAUCUCACCAGCCCCGACAGUAGUAAUGACGGUCAGGUUGAUGACCUUACCCGAGGCUACUGAGAGGAGGUGCAUGGCCGCCGUCAGCUCGUACCGUGAGGCGUCCUGUUAAGUCAGGCAACGAGCGAGACCCGCACUCCUAAUUGCCAGCAGUACCCUUUGGGUAGCUGGGUACAUUAGGUGGACUGCCGCUGCCAAAGCGGAGGAAGGAACGGGCAACGGUAGGUCAGUAUGCCCCGAAUGGGCUGGGCAACACGCGGGCUACAAUGGUCGAGACAAUGGGAAGCCACUCCG
rnacentral:rRNA from 1 species